UACGUAGGGGGGCGAGCGUUGUCCGGAUUCAUUGGGCGUAAAGCGCGCGUAGGCGGCUCCGCAAGUCGGCCGUGAAAUCUCCGGGCUCAACUCGGAGGGGUCGGGCGAGACUGCGGGGCUCGAGGUGGGCAGAGGGCAGUGGAAUUCCGGGUGUAGUGGUGGAAUGCGUAGAGAUCCGGAGGAACACCAGUGGCGAAGGCGGCUGCCUGGGCCUGGCCUGACGCUGAGGCGCGAAAAGCGUGGGGGAGCGAUCCGG
rnacentral:rRNA from 1 species